UCCGUAGGGGGCAAGCGUUGUCCGGAUUUAUUGGGCGUAAAGAGCGUGUAGGCGGUUAUACAGGUCCGCUGUGAAAACUGGAGGCUUAACCUCCGGACGUCGGUGGAAACCGUAUGACUAGAGUCCGGAAGAGGAGAGUGGAAUUCCUGGUGUAGCGGUGAAAUGCGCAGAUAUCAGGAAGAACACCCGUGGCGAAGGCGGCUCUCUGGGACGGUACUGACGCUGAGACGCGAAAGCGUGGGGAGCGAACAGG
rnacentral:rRNA from 1 species